AAUUAUCAAUCCUCUUUAUUCUUGUAAUAAAGUAGGCUUGGACUUGGAGGCUUCUGCUGGCUUUGAGCCGGCUCCUCUUGAAUGCAUUAGCUUGAAUAUAAAUGUCGGCUCGUUGGUGUAAUAAGUUUGCGCCACGGUCGGUUUAAUCAGGCUUAUAAUCCUUAUCACUUUGAC
rnacentral:misc_RNA from 1 species